rnacentral:pre_miRNA from 1 species
GAUGGAUUAAAUCCAAUCCAUUAACUAUUUUUUGUUUUGUUUGGUAGAUGGAUUGGAUGGAUAUUAUG